AGGAAAAGGCCGGCCUAAUAGAAAUUGAUGGUGAGAUAUCUAUUUAUAUUUUAUCGGGCAUGGUAUUCAUUAUUUAAAUAUCCCCUAAAAGGACAUUAAAGUUUUUGAAUUACGGAUGAUUUAAAAAAUGGACUUCUAAAAAGAAUAUACCUUUUUUAUUGGACAUGAUUUAUUGGUUAAAUAUUCCGUAAUGGCAAUUUUAAAUAUUAAAAAUGACGACUGAUUUAAAAAAUCUUCGAAAAAUAAAAAUAUCGAUAUUUUUAAUUCAACAUGAUGUUUAUUAGUUAAAUAUUCCGUAAUGGUAAUUUUAAGUUUAUAAAUAAUCGAGGAAUUCAAAAGAAUUAUCUUCCAAGAUAAAAAAAAUCCACCUUUUUGUACUGAAAUAGUGUGUUUUUAUUUAAAUAUUCCACAAUCGCUUGUUAAAGAUUUAAAUGACUACUGAUUUCAAAAGUUAGCUUCCAAAAUAAGAAUAUAUAUCUGUUUUAUUGGAUAUGGUGCUAAUUAGUUGAAUAUUUAUUAAUGGAAAUUUUAAGUUUUUAAAUGUCGACUAAUAUAGAAAAUCGACUUCUAAAAUGAUCGAUAUCUGAACUUUUUAUUGGACAAUGUUUGUUAUUUAAAUAUUCCGUUGAUGGAAAUUUUAAGUUCUUACAUUAACCACUGAUUUAAAAAUUUCAACUUCUAAAAUAAAAUACUCGCUGAAGGGAGCAGAGAAAUUGGGAAUCGGGUCGCAGAUUCGGAUUCGGAACAGGACGGAACCGCCGGACCUGAGUGAAUCCAACCACAAGAAGGCCUCGGGGUGAUUCUGGCAUUUUCAUACUGAUAGGAUAAACCCAUCGUCUUCGGGCGCUCGCGGGUAGCUUCCCCGGCGGAGAACCGGGUGCAUCUCGGCGGAGCGUCCACCUUGCGCCGGUGAAAGGCUGGGCAAUCGUCGAGGGCACGGGUGGGGCAGCACUCCGGACCUGUGAGUGACGGAGCAAGAUGUUCUGGCAUGCCGUUUCCAACAGGGUUUCCACACUCUGUCCGUCUCCUGGACUGGUCAGGGGAAACCCCCUCUUUUUCCCCGACAACGUGAGGAGGGGCAUCACAUGCAUCCAGUCCCAUGAAAGGAAGCUGAAUUCUCGAGCGUUCUUGAAAAGCCGGCCUUCUGUAAGUUUCAACAUAAUUUCCUCUUUGGUUCCCGCUUAGCCGACGCCACUCUAGUUACGUUUUCGUUUCGUAUUUUCAUAAUCAGCAUAAGAUGUGCGUGUCCUCACUGUAUUCCGAUAUUUUAGUCGAAGUAGACGGCGUUGGGCGUUCCACACGUUUUCUGUGCACAUUUCUUCAUCAUUUCGAACAAUGAGCUAACAUUACUAAUGUUACUUUCAAGUGGUAAUGCUUCUAAUAUGAUGCUGACAAGUUGGGGGUGAACUUCUCGCAACAUAAAUUUUUGGUUUCUCGCCUCUCAGUGUUCGUAAUUUUUGUGUUUUUUGCCCUCCGACAUCUUAUGUGGCGAUGGAAAUUUUGGUCCGGUUAAUGUGAUCCCGUAAUUUUCUUUCCAGUGGAGAAAGAUGUACCAACCCCAUUUCUAAGUCUCGUAUAUGCAUACAUAUAUAUUUCUCAAAAUGUUUGGACAGAUCUCUGGUUCGUCCAAAAUUUGUGUAGGACGAUUCAAUUUUUUAUUAAUAAAAAAUUGCAGUAUUUUAUUUGGAAUCGGCGAAGCCUAGCUAUGCACCUUUCCUUAAAAUACGCAUACAGCUUGUUAUGAUGAGAAGACGGAAGUGAACUGCUGAUUUUGAAUACUAAGUGCAGUUUAUUAAAGUGAGAUACAGACUUGGCAACCCUUUUGUCUCAAAUUUUUGUUACUUAAUUGGCAAGAUGCGCGAUAUUGAAAAUGGCAGUCAGAAGAUACAAAAUUCAACUAAUGCUUUGGCAUUGUCACUUUAUUUUCUGGAAAUAAGGUAGAUUGAAGUCAUAUGUGCAAUAUUUCAAGAACUUUUUUGUUCAGAUGAAAGAGAAACUCACCCGUAGGCCACUUUGUGGAAGACUGAAUCAUAUCGAACUAUAUAUUAUUUCUUAUUUUUAUUCCGUCGCUAUAUUUUUCUGUGAGAGACUUUGCUAUAGAAAGGGUACUUUAUUUGUAAAUAAAUUGAAAAAUGUAUUAUAAUAGGGAACCGCUAUAAAUUAGUGAUUUCCCUUCUUAUCAUAUUGGUUAAGUGCGAAAAUCUGUGGCUGAAUAUUUGUUUCUUGUGGAGGAAGGCAGAUGCCGGAAGGUGAUGCAGAGAUGAAGAAGUUACUCUCAAGACCGAAAGAAGGUACACUCUUUAUUUGCAGAAUUUCAUGAUCGGCAUUGCUCACCAAUUUUACUUAGUUCCCAAAAAAUGCAUAUACCUAUCGGAUUCUCCAUGUUUCAGCUCAGCCUACAUCGCACUAUGAGACCCAUGCAUUUUAAUCGAUAGAUUGGAAUGAGGAAUAAAGGAUUACAUUAAGACAGUUGUCAACAGCUCUUCCACAGCCUAAAUAAAAAUAAUGCAGUUGUUGGGAGGAAAUUGCGAAUUCAACAUGCCCAGGGAUUCAUUAGGCGUUGUAUUUCUAGUAGGGUCAAAAAUAUUCCUAAUGGUACUUUGAGAGAGGUUUAUUUCUUCUGUGAUGGCUUCUGGUUGUUUAACGAUUGGAAAGGGAACCGUAUCUGCUCUGGUGGCCCAGAUGAAGUGUGCAAGGUGUUUGUGUUGCCAUGAAUCAUGGUAUGUUUGCGUUGAUUUUCACAUCAAUCCAGAAUGCUUAUUUUAAGGCAUCCACAUCAACUUUCUGAAUUUAUAAAAAGAUUUGGGUCCAAUCAAUUUAGAGUCUUCUUAUAUGUUUGAAGAGACUCCUGAUGGCUAGCUGUCAUCUAGAAUCUGCAGUACCACCCACCCUAAUGAUCAUCCCAAAUAUAAACUAAAAUGCUCGCGAUCAGGUUGUUGGAUCCAAUCGAUCGACUGCCAUACGAAUGUGAAGGCAACCCGAUGUGUUUCAUUAGUAUUUAUUUCUCUCGUGCACCUGAUUGUGCAUCACCUAUGGUUGUGCCCACCCUCUCAUUAUAUUGAGUUUUGGAAUCUGUUUUAUGGAUGUGAUUAUACUCUCAAAAUUGCCACUAUCCUCUUAAAAACCAUAUCUUUGAUAUUUUUAAUUUUAUUUUCCAAUCCAAUGUAAGAUUUCAAUCUUCGUUGCUCUCCCUGGUAGUUUACUUUUUGUAAUUCCACGGUCGCUAGUGAAAACAGCCUGACUGUGGCAAACUUAUUGCAGUGCUUCUGCAGAGCUUCCUCCAUAUCAAAAAUGACAAGUCAUUGCUGCAACUAUCUGCGCUGUCUUGUGGAAUCAUGCCAUCUCUUUGUUUCCCUCUAGAAGCUCAGGCAGAUGAACAAAUGAGAAUGGACUUGGUUUAUGAAGUCGGGGAGCUUUUUGAAUUGGGAAUACAGCUUUCCUAUCUCCUUAUUCUGCUGGGGUUACUUGGUGUUGGAUCAUUCUUUGUCAUUCGCCAGGUCCUUGUUCGUCGUGAGCUUGAUCUUUCUGCAAAGGAGCUUCAAGUAAGCUAUAUCUUACAUCUGUUCUCCUUUCUCUCCCCUUCAUUCCGUUUCCAUAGGUCAAACAUUCUGAACUAAACAGUGCAUGAUAAUACUAGCCUGUUAUUCCUCUUAGUGGGAAGUCAACUAUCCUAUUAUAGGAAUUCCUUGCCUGGAAAUCAGUGGCAGGGGCAGAAUUAUCGUGAAUAUGUUAAUAAUGUUCUUAGUUUUUUAAGAAAAAUGGUGGGUGGAAAACAAUCCUCGUUCGUCCACCUUAAUUGCGAACCGUUGACCUCGCCUUCAGAACAACUCAGCAGCCAUGGCCUGUUGACUGUGCUUUGGAGAGAAAAUAAAGGAGAUUAGAGAGGAAAUACUUCGACUUCAGAUUUUACAAUUACCUUCUGCAUCCGCAGAGCGAAGCAAUUAUCAUCCUUCUUCGUCCAUUGAGUUUCAGACAAUAGACAGUAAAGCUAGUUCCAUCUCUCUCUCUCUCUCUCUUCUCUCUCUCUCUCUCCCCCUCGCUCGCUCGCUCGGUCGGCUGUCUGUCUCUCUUUGUAUUGACCUCCAUUGCCUUCGCAGGAGCAAGUUCGAAGCGGUGAUGCUUCAGCUACAGAGUACUUUGAGCUCGGUGCAGUGAUGCUGCGGCGGAAAUUCUACCCGGCGGCCAUAAAAUAUUUGCAGCAGGCCAUCGAGAAGUGGGACGGAGAUGACCAGGAUCUGGCCCAGGUCUCCAUUUCUUAAUUUCUUCUCCGCCUGCGCAUUAAUUAAAGCAUGCUCGGACUUUGAUGUUAUUAAAGAUUAAACCAAGAUGUUCCGCAGGUGUAUAACGCGCUCGGCGUCAGCUAUGUGCGCGACAGCAAGCUCGACAAGGGGAUCGCGCAGUUUGAGAACGCGGUCAAGCUGCAGCCGGGAUACGUGACGGCCUGGAACAACCUGGGGGACGCCUACGAGAAGAGGAAGGACCUGAACGCCGCCCUCAAGGCCUUCGAGGAGGCGCUGCUCUUCGACCCCAACAACAGGGUCGCCAGGCCCCGGCGGGACGCCCUCAGAGAUCGCGUCCGCAUGUACAAGGGAGUACCCAUCAAGUCGGACGAGAGAAGGUAGCCCCACCCGCCUCUUCUACGACGACCUCCUUCAUCGGCCUUUGAGGCCCUCCCCCCCUGCUUUUCUUCUGUAUGACAGUCGGCUCGUUUGCCCCUGCUAAUGAGUUCAAUUUCAUCUAACUGCCGCGAGAGAGAGAGAGAGAGAGAGAGAGAGAGAGAGAGAGAGAGAGAGAGAGAGAGAGAGAGAUUAUCCUUGAUCCCCACCCUCAUCCGGAAAGAUCUAGCCUCAUUAGGCGGCUCGGCGAGAAGUCAACGCCUACCCUCUUUCUGACUCGGUGGGCGUCACACCACACCCUCCUGGAAAUAUCCGGUGGGCAGGUUGGGCCCACGCGGGUAGGCUUCCCCUUCACCUUCCGGGACUGCGAGAAAGGUGAGCCCACAUCUCACCGGGUUUUUCUUCAUCUCCUCUCGGCGGCGACACGCGAUUUUUGCUGAGCCGGCGCUGGAGAGCUUUCCUCUCCUCCGAUGGAGUCUUCUCCCGUCCUCGGCUCGAUCCCUUGAGGUAGAUAAUCUGAUUUCGAGCAGGAAAAAUAUGAUCUUUCUCUGCUAAUUUUGCGCUGCCGUCUCUGAAAUCGGCAGGGUUUCGCUGUUUCCAAGGGAAAGGGAAAAGGGUAGGGGGAAAAGAAGACUGAUGUUUCAUUCAGGAUCCUAUCGGGGACGGCGAGGGGGAUUUCCUCCUCGUCAUCGCGCCGCCAUGGGAUUCCCCUUCAGGACCUGCCUUAUGUUCGCCGUCGUCGCCGCCCUUUUCCUCUCGGCCGCCGACAAGUCGACUGCUGCCGAGGGGGACUACGUCGUCAACUGCGGCGACUCCGGCCAGAAAUUCGACACGGACGGCCGCAACUGGAGGGGGGACACCGGCUCCAACUUUUUCCCCGGUAGCCAGAACAGCCCGGCCGCCGUCGCCAGCAAUCAAGCCUCCUCCGUCCCGCAGGUUCCCUACAUGACCGCCCGGAUCUUCACCUCCGAGUUCACCUACACCUUCCCCAUCUCCCCCGGCCGCAAAUUCGUCCGCCUCCACUUCUACCCUGCCGACUACGGCGACCACACCGCCGGCGACUCCCGCUUCGCCGCCGUCGUCUUCCCCGGGAACGUCACCCUCCUGAGGAACUUCAGCGCCUCCCAGACCGCCCAGGCGAAAAAUAUCGAGUACUUCUUCCAGGAGUUCUCGGUCAACGUCACGACAGGCUCCCUGAACCUGACCUUCUCCCCCUCGCCGGACGUCCCCAAUUCCUACGCCUUCGUCAACGGCAUCGAGAUCUUGUCAACCCCAGACAUCUUUGUCUCUCAGGACCUGACCCUCGUCGGGCGAUCCGUGAUGUAUUCCGUCGGACCGAUGGUUUCCUUCCAGACGAUGUACCGGCUGAACGCCGGCGGGAGCCGCGUCCCCCCUCCAGAGGACGCCCAGCUUUUCAGGACAUGGGAGAACGACGAAAAGUACGUACUUAACACGAGGGGCGGGGCGACGAUCUCCAAGAGCGACAACCUCACGUUCAGUUACGGCAGCGUGCCCAAUUACACGGCGCCGCCGCAGGUCUACGAGACUGCCCGAAUAAUGGGGGGCGAUGGAAGAGUCAACCUCGGCUACAAUCUCACCUGGAGAUUUCUUGUCGAUCCGGGCUUCAACUACCUCGUGAGGCUGCACUUCUGCGAGAUCGACGCCAACAUCACGAAGAGAAACGAGAGGGUCUUCGCCAUCUACCUCGACAACCAGAUGGCGGUGCAGGAUUACGAUGUGAUCAUUCGAAGCAGUGGCGGCGGGAAAGCGAACUACCUGGAUCUCGUCGUGCAGGUUCAAGUCGGAACGGAGCAGCGUUACCUCUUGCUCGAGCUCCACCCUGACACGGUAUCUAAGCCAACGUACAACGAUGCCAUCCUGAAUGGGCUGGAGAUCCUCAAGCUAAGUUCAUUCGACAGCAAUCUGGCUGGGCCUAAUCCAGUUCCCGAGGUUCAGGAGAAUCCGGGGACGGGAGGCGGGAGUCCUGUUCCCAAGCAGGGGGGUGGCUCUAAGAGUAGCGUUGCAGUCAUUGCAGGAGCCGUGGCCGGCGGUCUUGCGAUUCUGCUGCUCGUUGGUGCGGUGGUAUUCACGAUGAGGCGGAAAAAGAAGAAGCUCGUGCCGCAGAAGGAUGAGACGAGCACCAGCAAGGCGUCAUCCAGCUGGCUCCCCCUCUCUCUCUACGUCAAGAAAUCCUCCGUCUCGAUCAAGACGAACGCCUCGCGGAGCUCUGCGUCUUCUCUGCCCGCCAACCUCUGCCGUCACUUCUCAUUUGCAGAGAUCGAGGCCGCCACGAACGGCUUCCACGAGAGCCUCAUCCUCGGGGUCGGUGGGUUCGGCAAAGUCUACAGGGGCCAGAUCGACGGCGGGUCGACGGAGGUGGCCAUCAAACGUGCCAAUCCCACAGCGGAGCAGGGUAUCCGUGAGUUCCAAACCGAGAUCGAGUUGCUGUCCAAGCUCCGCCACCGCCACCUCGUCUCCCUCAUCGGCUACUGCGAGGAGAACCGGGAGAUGAUCCUGGUCUACGAUUAUAUGGCUCACGGCACACUGAGAGAGCACCUCUACAAGACCCAGAACCCGCCGCUCUCCUGGAAGCAGAGGCUGGAGAUCUGCAUCGGCGCCGCCCGCGGCCUCCAUUACCUUCACACCGGCGCAAAGCACACCAUCAUCCACCGCGACGUGAAGACCACCAACAUCCUGCUGGACGAGAAAUGGGUCGCCAAGGUUUCGGACUUCGGCCUCUCCAAGACCGGCCCGACGGUGGAUCGCACCCACGUCAGCACAGUCGUGAAGGGCAGCUUCGGGUACCUGGACCCCGAGUACUUCCGGCGGCAGGUGCUCACAGAGAAAUCUGACGUCUACUCCUUCGGCGUGGUCCUGUUCGAGGUACUCUGUGCCAGGCCAGUGUUGGACCCGCGGCUGCCAAAGGAGCAGGUGAGCCUGGCCGAGUGGGCUCUCCACUGCCAGAGGAAGGGCGUGCUCGAUCAGAUCAUGGAUCCCCAUCUCAGGGGAAAGAUCGCGCCGCAGUGCUUCAAGAAGUUCGCCGAGACGGCGGAGAAUUGCUUGGCCGACCGCGGCGUGGAUCGCCCCUCCGUGGGCGACGUGCUGUGGAACCUGGAGUUCGCUCUGAAGCUCCAGGAGAGCGCGGAUGAAGGAGGGAGCCUCCUCAGCGGAGCCGGCAUCGGCGGCGGCCACGGCAACGGCGACGACGCUGCACCGCUAUUGACGGGGAAAACCCCGCCAUCCUCUGACCCAUCUACGGAUUCACGUAGCACCGGUGUCACCUCUACCUCGACAUUCAGCAUGGACGGCCGCAGCAUCACCAGCGACUCCUCAGACGGGCUCACCCCGAGCGGCGUCUUCUCCCAGAUCAUCGACCGCAAGGGCCGCUGACACUCUCCGACGUGCCGCCCCCUCCCCACAACCUCCGUGUGCAGAAUUUCUCUGCGACCUUAUCUCUCUGUAGCGUGUACCCCACCUAGCCUUGCUCUGACGUGCUUCACCCUUCACUAGUACACGACGAGUUGAGCUCCGUCGAUUGGACUCUUCGUGUCUCCUCCGACUACUCUCCGCAGUGAUCGUUCGCAAUAACGGAAGAGGAUUUCUGUGUUGAAGAGAAAAUGCAUUCAAGAAACCACGGCACUAAUGGCGUCGACAGCCCCUCCCCGUCGCUCGUUUGGUUGCCUCAGAGGGAGAGCCAUUAGUGAUGUGGAAAGCUUUGGGGCGAGCGGGCCGAUGGAUAAGUCGGCGCCACCACCUUCAGCUGAGGCUCCCUUCUGUCUGCAACCAACGAGCUUAUCCAGCUCCCCGCCGUCUCUGACGAAGAAGAAGGUCGGCGUCUCCCGGACUUCCCACGACGAACUGAGCUUCUGCAACACGACGCGAGAAAUCGACUACUCCUGGCAGAACUUGCGCAAUUACAUAAGAGGAUUUCUAUGCUCGAGGAGAAGCUCAGAUGCAUUCGAGAAGCCACGGAAGCGCGCAGCGCCGCCGCAGAAGAUCCUCGUAUGUACUUCUAUAUAGUGUGAAUGAAUCAUUUUUAAUAUCCUAUUUUUCCAGUAAAAAAAUAAUUUCGAGGAACAUCCAUAUUUUACCUUGGAGUAGCCCUGUCCUCAUCGUUGACUUACGCAGUAACAUUUUUUGUUGGCUGAUUUAUGUUGUCAUGGAUUUAACGGAAGCCUAUAUUUAUGUAAGAUCUUGGCCAUCUGAUUUUGAAAAAUGGUCAAGACCUGCCAGCCAGUUAAUGGAAAAAUGGGAUUUUUUUCUUGUCGCGGGGAAAAAAUAUCAUAAUUUAAAUUGGAUAUUGUGUGUCAAACCCUCCCCCUAAAUAAGUAUAAGGCUAAAUGUCGUCUACAUGGUGUUCCCGUGGAUCGCCCGAUCCGACACCGGGCCGGGAAUCGGAACCCCAGACCUCGUCGGCGGCACCAUCAUCGGACUACCUCCAGCUCUCACAGGGACCAAACGCCUUCUUCUGGUGGUCUUCAGGUGCCGGUGGAGAGGGGGGGCUGGGGUUCUCGCCUCAUCGGAAUCCCCGACCGCCAGGUAGAAUCUCGACCCUCUUACGCCGCGGAGUCCCGUCUCCUCCUCCGCCGGGAAGGGGGGGGCGCUGCCGUCUUGUUUCAGCCAAGGCGGAGGAGACCAUUCUCUCGCCAACAGGAGUUUCCUGCACGGCGCGAUAGAUCCGGGUUUUGUUCUUGCGAUUUCCGAUUCUUGAUCUCCCGACGAAACCCUAGAUUAUGUGUAAACCCAUGGCCAUGCCGCAUGUUUGAAUCGCGCGCUGAUCCAGCGGGCGGUUUUCGCCUGCUGUGUAAUUCCGUGUUGGGCCUCUGAUUCCGAUUUUGCAGGCGAUGUGAUGCUCUGGACGAACCGCGGAACCGAUUCAGGGGCCUUGGAGGGGGGCGGUGGUCUCCUCUCUGCAGAUCUCCCGAGGUGGUCUCUACACCUGUGUUAUCAUCGAGUCUUCGGGAUGGCCCCUAUCCCCGUCGGGAGCCGCCGCCUCCUUCCUCCCUCCGCUCCCGUCCUUCUACUCUUCGUCUUCCUCCUCCACACCGGUCAGACCAGCGGCGACGCCUCAUCUACCGUCGCCGGGGAAUACAUCCUCCUCAACUCCGGCGGUUCUGGGCGGAUGCCCGAUUUGGACCAUCGCGUAUGGGCGGGGGACGCUGGGUCCGAGUUCCUCCCCUCAGGUCAUAACACCCUGGCCGCCGCCGCCGCCUUCCAGAGCUCUUCCGUCCCGCAAGUCCCCUACAUGACUGCCCGGAUCUUCACCUCCGAGUUCACCCACUCCUUCCCCAUCUCCCCCGGCCGCAAGUUCAUCCGCCUCCACUUCUACCCCUCUGCCUACGGCAACUACGCCGCCGGCGACUCCCGCUUCGCCGUCACGGUCUCCCCCGGGAAUUUCACUCUCCUGAGAAAC
rnacentral:lncRNA from 1 species